rnacentral:rRNA from 1 species
UACAGAGGUGGCAAGCGUUGUUCGGAAUUACUGGGCGUAAAGGGCGCGUAGGCGGUCUUAUAAGUCUCGUGUGAAAUCCCUCGGCUUAACUGAGGAACUGCACGGGAUACUGAAAGACUUGAGAUCGGGAGAGGGAAGCGGAAUUCCGGGUGUAGCGGUGAAAUGCGUAGAUAUCCGGAGGAACACCGGUGCGAAGGCGGCUUCCUGGACCGACACUGACGCUGAGGCGCGAAAGCUAGGGGAGCAAACGGGAUUGAGAAACCCGGGUAGGGUACCAAGACCAAAGUACCGUCUGCUACCGGUA